UAGUGUUAUAGCUCUUUUAGAAUUUGUUUAGCACGUUUCCUGUUUUCACUGGAAAACUCUC
rfam:Callithrix jacchus chromosome 7, whole genome shotgun sequence